rnacentral:rRNA from 3 species
GGACUACUAGGGUUUCUAAUCCCGUUCGCUCCCCUGGCUUUCGCGCCUCAGCGUCAGUAGGGACCCAGCGGACCGCUUUCGCCACCGGCGUUCCUUCCGAUAUCAACGCAUUUCACCGCUCCACCGGAAGUUCCGUCCGCCCCUAUCCCCCUCCAGUCCCCCUGUUUCCGGGGCCCUUGUCCGGUUGGGCCGAACGAUUUCACCCCGGACGGGGGGACCGCCUACGCGCCCUUUAAGCCCAGUGAUUCCGAACAACGUUCGCACGGUUCGUCUUACCGCGGCUGCUGGCAC